CCUACGGGGGGCAGCAGUAAGGAAUAUUGGUCAAUGGACGCAAGUCUGAACCAGCCAUGCCGCGUGGAGGAUGAAGGUCCUCUGGAUUGUAAACUUCUUUUAUUUGGGAAGAAACUCCCGAUUUCCAUCGGGAUUGACGGUACCAGAUGAAUAAGCACCGGCUAACUCCGUGCCAGCAGCCGCGGUAAUACGGAGGGUGCAAGCGUUACUCGGAUUCAAUGGGGUGAAGGGGUGCGGGUGAGGGCGUGGAGAAAUCUCCUGGCUUAACCCGGGAACUUCCCUUGAUACUAUUUGUCUUGAAUACUCUGGAGGUGAGCGGAAUAUGUCAUGUAGCGGUGAAAUGCUUAGAUAUGACAUAGAACACCCAUUGCGAAGGCAGCUCACUACGGAAAUAUUGACGCUGAGGCACGAAAGCGUGGGGAUCAAACAGGAUUAGAUACCCCGGUAGUC
rnacentral:rRNA from 1 species